rnacentral:rRNA from 1 species
UACGUAGGGACCAAGCGUUGUUCGGAUUUACUGGGCGUAAAGGGCGCGUAGGCGGCGUGGUAAGUCACUUGUGAAAUCUCUGAGCUUAACUCAGAACGGCCAAGUGAUACUGCUGUGCUAGAGUACGGUCGGGGUAGAAGGAAUUCCUGGUGUAGCGGUGAAAUGCGUAGAGAUCAGGAAGAACACCGGUGGCGAAAGCGUUCUGCUAGACCUGUACUGACACUGAGGGACGAAAGCUAGGGGAGCGAAUGGG